rnacentral:lncRNA from 1 species
GGGGCGUUUUUGAUGUCGAUUUUGCGGCUAUUUCUGCAAUCGCAUAACCGUUUUGCUGGCCGCACUAUGGUCGCACAGUCAUCCUUAGACUUUUACGAAGGAUGGUUCGGACUUUUUGGAUUUAAUAAUGCCUGGUGAUUUAAAGGAAAAUGUUGGGGAGAAGUAGGCAUUUCAGUAGCCCGUUCCGCAGAACCUCUCUGCGGACCGCAGAAUGGUUGCAAAGUGAGGCAGUUCCGCAUUUUUAUGUCGAUUUCGCGGCUAUUUUUGCGAUUGCGUAACUGUUUCGCGGGGCGCACUUUGGUCGCACAGUCAUCCUUAGACUUUUGCGAAGGGAGAUUUGGAAUUUCUAGAUAGAACAGUGCCUAGAGAGUUGAAGGAAAAUGUUGGGCAGAAGUAGGCAUUUCUGCGGUCCGUUCUACGGCUGCAGAACCACUCUUUGGACCGCAGAAUGGACGCAGAGUGAGGCAUUUUUCUGGAUCUUUUUUAAUGUUGAUUUCACGGUCAAUUAUGCGACCAGAUAACCAUUUCGCAGGCUGCACUUUGGUCGCAUAGUCAACCUUAGACUUUUGGGAAUGAAGGUUCGGACUUUUUGGAUUGAACAAUGCCUGGGGAGUUGAAGGAGAAUGUUGGGCAAAAGUAGGCAUUUCUGUGGCCCGUUCUGCGGCUGCAGAACCUCUCUGUGGACCGCAGAAUGGUCGUAGAGUGAGGCAAUUUUUUGGGGUGUUUUUGAUGUCGAUUUUGUGGCUAUUUUUACGAUCGCAUAACCGUUUCGCGGGCCGCACUUUGGUCGCACUGUCAUCCUUAGACUUUUACGAAGAGAGGUUCGGACUUUUUGGAUUGAAUAGUGCCUGGGGAUUUAAAGGAAAAUGUUGGGCAGAAGUAGGCAUUUCUGUGCCCCGUUCUGCGGCCGCAGAACCACUCUACAGACCGCAGAUUGGUCGCUGAGUGAGGCAGUUUUCU